AUGAAACGCGAGGGCAGGGCUCUCUGUUUGAGGAAAGUCGAGCGCCACAUGUUUACGAACGUGCGCGGACACUCUUCAAGUGUACCUUUUGCUUUAUUGGUCUCAGUUAUCAUCCCAUCGUCCUGGAACAAGACUGGUAUGUUCACUCGCAGCUCCAAGAAGAGAGAAUCCAGUAGAACGCUGAACACCCUUGCUGAAUCAGAGAGUGAACAGCUGUGUAGCUGUGUGGAGACCAGUGACCGGGCUUCAUUCUGCACCAAUGGAGGUAGGGACCCUCUCUCUCCUUCUCUAUUUAUACACUUACCCUUACUUUUACAGGGCAUCUCGCUACUCCCUCCCUGCCAAAAACUUCAGUUAGUAUCAGUUAAAAGAUUCAGUGGUGGUAGUUGGUAAGGUGGAAUAGUGCUGGCUCCUUGUUUGAGAAAACAUCAUGAGAAAACUCUGAAUACAUACUGCUCUUGAAUAGUAUAGACCAUAUCUCUAUUCCAGUUUGAGGCAUUGGACACUUCCUUCUCUGCUAGAGCACUGGUCUGGAGGACACCUGUGGGUUACUGAAGCCCUCAUGUGUUCAGGUUUUAAUGGACUCAGCCAUGCAUAUCAGAGUCAGCAAGGCAUUGUUCAUUAUCUGUGUGCCCUAACAUAAGUUGACUUUAAGAAAGCCAUUCAUGCAGUAUGGGAUAUUUGAAGCAGUCAUUCUACACAUGCUCUCCGCUUGUAUUUGUUUUAGAGUGAAAGGAAUGAGCGUUGGGUAGACUUUCAUAUGCAGCACUUAUAAACUGUAUUGUGUUUAGGUAUGAUUCACUAUGAGGCUAUAUAUUAAGACAACAUUAAUUUUCCAGAACUGUUUAAAAUAGUUGAACUGUGUGUGUGCAAACUUUAUUACAAGAGUUAUUAGUUAAACUGGGUGUGACAAACAAAAGCUCUAUUCAGUGUUAAAUCGGGGCACUCAUCGAUUAUUGAAAGCAAUACCUUUUACCUCUACAUGAUGGUUUCAUUUCUUCCAAGAAGAAGUAGACAUCCCUCUAUGUGACACGUCCUCUAUCAGCAAUGUAAGCAGCCCUAAUGAAGGCCAAGCCUGGUCUGUCUGUAAAAGAGGGUCUACAAUGAGAGAGGAGGGGCUGCCAGUCUAGGCAGAGGCUCAUCAGGCCUCCAUUCUGUAAACUAUUACAGGGCAACAGCCAACCUCUGGAAUGUGCCUUUAAUUGCCUGUGUUUGCAGUGCCACAAUAAAAGUAAACCUUUUCCCGACAAACCAACCCAACGGCAGACAUUUCUUACAGACGGCCUUGAAAACUCUGCUUUGUGUGCAGAAGCUAGAACAGUGCGAGGGAACUUUAUGGCUACGAACAUCACUGAACUCCUUUGUUCCUUCCUAAAAGAAAACACUCCAACCAGUCUCUUCCUCCCUGGUUCUCAGCAAAGUAUGUUUUCAUGCCGAUUGAUAUAGAUAUGGGUGUUUUAUUUUGAAUGGGGACUUUAGCUGACCUCAGUGUUGGAGAUUAGGUAAUCGGAGAAGGCAGGUGCGUACAUAGUAUAGACAGUACUGUAGCUAGGCUACUAUAUAACCUUGCUGUUUAUUAACUAAGAGUGACAAAACUGCUAAGUCAACACAGGGACCUGCAAGACUGCCAAAAUCAGACCUUGAAUUGUCUCCCUGGGAAAUGAUUGAUGAUGUUCAUGGUGUAUAUG
ensembl:lncRNA